CGUGCACGCUGGCGGUAGGCCUAACACAUGCAAGUCGAACGGCAGCACAGUAAGAGCUUGCUCUUACGGGUGGCGAGUGGCGGACGGGUGAGGAAUACAUCGGAAUCUACUUUUUCGUGGGGGAUAACGUAGGGAAACUUACGCUAAUACCGCAUACGACCUACGGGUGAAAGCAGGGGAUCUUCGGACCUUGCGCGAUUGAAUGAGCCGAUGUAGGAUUAGCUAGUUGGCGGGGUAAAGGCCCACCAAGGCGACGAUCCGUAGCUGGUCUGAGAGGAUGAUCGACCACACUGGAACUGAGACACGGUCCAGGCUCCUACGGGUGGCAGCAGUGGGGAAUAUUGGACAAUGGGCGCAAGCCUAAUCCAGCCAUACCGCGUGGGUGAAGAAGGCCUUGGGGUUGUAAAGCCCUUUUGUUGUGAAAGAAAAGCAGCAGGUUAAUACCCCGCUGUUCUGACGGUACCCAAAGAAUAAGCACCGGCUAACUUCGUG
rnacentral:rRNA from 1 species